rnacentral:rRNA from 1 species
CAGUAGCCACGGUAAUACGAGGGGGGCAAGCGUUGUUCGGAAUUAUUGGGCGUAAAGGGUGCGUAGGCGGUUUGAUAAGUCAUCUGUGAAAUCUCUGGGCUCAACCCAGAGUCUGCAGGCGAAACUGUCGGGCUUGAGUAUGGGAGAGGUGAGUGGAAUUUCCGGUGUAGCGGUGAAAUGCGUAGAUAUCGGAAGGAACACCUGUGGCGAAAGCGGCUCACUGGACCAUAACUGACGCUGAUGCACGAAAGCUAGGGGAGCAAACAGGAUUAGAUACCCCCGUAGUCCCUGUCUCUUAUAA